AGAGCAGGACAGGGGCGGCCAGGCCCCAAGAGGAGCAUUCUGUGCUUAAACACGGCUGAGAGCACAGCGUGCCAGGUCCUCCCCGCAGAAGCGUGGGCUUAGGGCGUCUGUGCAGGGACCUGCGUGGGGAGGACGGAGCCGGCGAGAUGCUCACGGCCCGGGAGCGAUCGAAUAAGGGCCGGGGACUUAGCUCGGUGGUGCUGCUGCCUGCUUUCCAAGCCCAAGGUCCCGAGUUCCAUCCCCGCUGCCAAAAGAAAAAAAAAGAAGCAAUUGAAUAGGUUGAAGUCCAUCUUCCGACCUCGUGUUAGAUCUCACAGAUGCCUGCCAUUGGCCAUCAGAAUUACACACAAAGCAUCAGGACUGGGAAAAUAAAUCAAGUCUUGUCACACUCGAGGUGA
rnacentral:lncRNA from 1 species